UUACAGGAAGAGGAAGAGCUGGUAAUUGCGCACCGUAAACAAGUUGAAGAUACGAUAAAUAUUGUUAGGGAGGUACGAUGGCUUCAUAAUUUAUCUCGAUGGAUAUUUCUUUUCCUUGAUCUUCUACGAUGUUGGCACCUUUCUGAGCAUACUCCUGGUCAACGAUGCCCAUCAGAGAUUUUCAUGUUGGUAGUUUUAUUUGAAUUUGGGUUCUUGUGUAGUUAACUUAAUUUUUGAAUAUUUAUUUCAUAUGUCUGAUGCAGGCAUCUUCAUCCACAUCAAAGUUGCAGAAGACUGUUUUUCCUGAACAUGGGAAGAGCAUAAACCUGACAAGAUAAUUACUGUAAACCUUAAUGUGGGAGGUUGUCUGAUGCAAAACGCAAGCAAUGGGAAUACUGGUGUCAUGAUAAAUAAUCGUGAGAUAACAAAAGUUGAGCUGCAGAUGCAAUCUAAACAUAAUGUAUUUACAUUUACCGAUGUCAGCUCCUGCAAUCCUGAUAGAUGUGGUUGUAUCCCAGUGGAGAAGAGUCAAAUGUGCCGGAAGUCCUCACUUCUGGGUGGAUGCUGAUGGAUCAUACUGGGAGGAGGGACAGAAAAAUGUAAAGGGGAAGUUAUGGGGCAAGGCUAGAACCAAGCUUCUAUGCUCUUUUCUGUCACUGUCAGUUCCUUGUAAGGGUGAAAAUCCCUCCGGUGAAGAAGUGAAUAACAUGCUUAAUGGAGCAUUUCCAUUUUUUUUUG